UAAGAGGGUAUUAUUGCUGCUGAAGGGUCGUUUUGAAAAUCGCUGGAUGUAUUUUAUUUAUACUUUCGAAUGAGUUAAUAGUUGCAAAGCGUUCACUACGUUUUCCUGUUAUACGAGUUCUUACGUGGGCAGGAGAGUUGAGAUAUUGACUAUACGCGUGUCAUUUCCUACAACAGUUUUCAUUAUAUUCUUUAUAUUAAAGUGAUCCGAGCCAGUACUAGCGUCUUCGCAGUCUUUGGGAUUUUCGUGGUCUUGAUUUGAAUAUUAUCUAAAACAUCAAGAGUCAGAUAGGCGUUCAUCCAUUGUCUCAAUUAAUAUGACGAAGAUCGACGUUCGUGUUCUUUUUCUUGCUGCUUCGAUAAACAUCUUAUGCCCCACUUCAGUCAUUGCUAC